CAUGGCACCGCGCAGCACGCAUAGCCACUGAAUCAUAUUGAUUUCCUCCUCGGGUGAUAGCACAGAGUGUCUGAAGCACAUUCCGUGACAAAAAAACACUCCCUCACACCAAUAUUAAUCCGAAAUAACCAGUUGUGUCGAGCGAGGUUAUUAAACUGAGCCGAAAGCGACACAGGGAACGCUAACGAGGUGAUGUCAGAGGGUCGUUCCCUGACCGGGCCUCAGUGUCUCCUCGACGACCGCGGAGCCUGUUAAUCGUCCCUCCGCCUGCUCGUGUGCGCUGCGAUGCUUCCCUGCCAUGCGGAAUCGUCGAGAAGAAGCCACUGUAUUGAAUAUGAAAUGCUGAGUGUGAGAGAUCGCUUUGGAUCUGGGGUGAUUCGCUGCGUCAUUGACUUCGGAUGACAAAUAAGGAACAGCUAUGGCUAUGGUCAUCGUCAAGCCGCCCCUACACUGCAAAUGGACAACUAAGUAUGGAGCCAGAACACCGUACGCAGGUCGACCUCCGCCCUCAUAACCCAUGGGCAUUUUGGACUUCAAUAAAAUAAUUAGGAGGUUUAUGGCUUAUGGCACUCGCGGUUAAGCAGUGAACCUGGUGCAUCAAGAGGAAGCCUAAAGGCAAGAUCGGCAGCGAUGAGAUGGUUUUCUCCUGGGGGAAGUUUUCGGAUUAUGACAGAUUCAUGCUGGAACUGGACUAAUAAGUCUGUCUGCAUGAUCCCACAGGAGAAACGAGCCAUGCUAAGGCUACUUAUGGAAUAAUGUAAAGACACGAUCUGUCUAGUGGUCUAGUCGGCGAACAAAGAGAAAAAUG